CUAGUUGGGUCAUGAUAGCCAGCAUCUGGGCCUAUUUUCUCUUUCCCUGGACAUAACCCGAAACAGAGGAGGGCAGCGCAGACUGACAAACCAGCCGCUGGCCUGUCUGAGGUACCGAGUGGAUCCAGCGCCGAGGGAGGAAGGGCGAAGCGGCACAAAGAUGCGUUUCUGGGAAUGCUGGGAAAAAGCAGCAGAAAAUGCCCAAGUGCUUGGGCCCUUCCUAGCUGUAUGGAAGAUCUGGAAGAAGCUCCUGGCUACUGGCUUCUGCCUGGACCAGCACUGGCUAUUGUGGCCAUCUGGGGAGUAAACCAGCAGAUGGAAGAUCUCUGUCUCUCACUUUCCCUCUGUGACUCUGCUUUUCAAAUAAGUUGAACUUGUUAAGAAACAUAAUCAUGCGGCUGGUGCUGUGGCACAGUGGGUUAAUGCCUUGGCCUUUGGCCUUAGGCGCCAGCAUCCCAUAUGGAUGCCCGUUCUGGUGCCGGCUGCUCCUCUUUUGAUCCAGCUCUCUGCUAUGGCCUGGGAAAGCAGUAGAAGAUGCCCCAAGUCCUUAGGCCCCUGCACCCACGUGGGAGACCCAAAAGAAGCCCCUGGCUCCUGGCUUCAGAUCAGCGCAGCUCCAGCCAUUGUAGCCAGUUGGGAAGUAAACCAUCGGAUGGAAGACCUCUCCCUCCCUCUCUCUCUCUCCCCCUCUCCUCUCUGUGUAACU